rnacentral:rRNA from 1 species
UGGGGAAUUUUGGACAAUGGGGGCAACCCUGAUCCAGCCAUGCCGCGUGCAGGAAGAAGGCCCUAUGGGUCGUAAACUGCUUUUGAACAAGAGAAAACCCCGGUACGUGUACUGGGUUGAUAGUAUUGUUAGAAUAAGCAUCGGCUAACUUCGUGCCAGCAGCCGCGGUAAGACGAAGGAUGCAAGCGUUAUCCGGAUUCAUUGGGUUUAAAGGGUGCGUAGGCGGACUGAUAAGUCAGUGGUGAAAUCUCUCGGCUUAACCGAGAAACUGCCAUUGAUACUGUUAGUCUAGAGUACAGAUGAUGUGGGCGGAAUAUGACAUGUAGUGGUGAAAUACUUAGAUAUGUCAUAGAACACCGAUUGCGAAGGCAGCUCACAAAACUGUAACUGACGCUGAGGCACGAAAGUGCGGGGAUCAAACAGGAUUAGAUACCCCUGUAGUCCCUGAGCGGGCUGGCAAGGCGCAU